rnacentral:rRNA from 1 species
GACGAACGCUGGCGGCGUGCCUAAUACAUGCAAGUCGAGCGAAUCGAUGGGAGCUUGCUCCCUGAGAUUAGCGGCGGACGGGUGAGUAACACGUGGGUAACCUGCCUGUAAGACUGGGAUAACUUCGGGAAACCGGAGCUAAUACCGGAUACUUUCUUUUCUCGCAUGAGGGAAGAUGGAAAGAUGGUUCUGCUAUCACUUACAGAUGGACCCGCGGCGCAUUAGCUAGUUGGUGAGGUAACGGCUCACCAAGGCAACGAUGCGUAGCCGACCUGAGAGGGGGAUCGGCCACACUGGGACUGAGACACGGCCCAGACUCCUACGGGAGGCAGCAGUAGGGAAUCUUCUGCAAUGGACGAAGGUCUGACGGAGCAACGCCGCGUGAGCGAAGAAGGCCUUCGGGUCGUAAAGCUCUGUUGUUAGGGAAGAACAAGUACGAGAGUAACUGCUCGUACCUUGACGGUACCUAACCAGAAAGCCACGGCUAACUACGUGCCAGCCGCCGCGGUAA